CUUGGGAGGGGAUACCUGUUCUUUAUUGUUACUUUGUUCAGCUGCCUAUAAUCAAUGCACAUCCGCAGCGACCCAUCCUUCUUCCUCACAAACAGUACCGGUGCUCCCCAAGGUGAUGUACUAGGCCAGAUGAAGCCCUUUUCUAGCAAAUCUUUCAAUUGCUCUUUCAAUUCUUUCAACUCAGCAGGUGCCAUUCUAUAAGGAGGUAUAGAUAUAGGCUGGGUAUCUGGCAGUACAUCUAUAGUAAACUCUAUCUCCUGUUUUGGAGGAAGGCCUGGAAGUUCCUCGGGGAAUACAUCAGGAAAUUCAUUAACUACCGGGACUGAUUGAAGAGUCGGUGCCUCUGCCUUUAUGUCAUGCACCCGAAUCAGAUGGUAAAUAUAGCCUUUUCUAACCAUCUUCCAGGCCUUGAGGUAUGAAAUGAACUUACCUUUCGGCGAUACUGUACUUCCCUUCCACUCUAUAAUUGGCUCCCGUGGAAAUUGAAAUCGAACUAUCUUUCCUCUGCAAUCAACAUUAGCAUAACAAGCAGCCAACCAAUCCAUGCCCAUGAUAAUAUCAAACUCAAUCAUAUUUAACUUUAUUAGAUCUGCUACGGUACGACGACUAUAUAUAACUACUGAACAAUUCCUAUAUACUCGCGUAGCUAUGACAAAAUCUCCUACAGGUGUAGCUACCUCAAAUGGUUCUAUCAACUCAGACUCUAUUCCGAUCCUACUAGCAACAAAGGGAGAUAUAUAUAUGAUAAGGUGGAACCUGGGUCUAUCAAUGCAUACACACUUCGGGAGAAUAGUGAUAAUAUACCUCUGAUCACAUUAGGUGACGCCUCCUGAUCUUGCCUAUUAGUCAAAGCAUAUAUACGGUUUGAGGGACCGCUAGAACUGGAAGCUCCACCACGUCCUCAACCACGGCCUGCUGGCGCCUGAAUACCCUGCCCCGUAGGGCGCAUAGCCACAGAAGAAGAUGAACCAGCAACGGACCCUGUAGGCUGUGCCAUACCACCUGCACUACCUCUAAGGUGACACUCCCUCAUAGUAUUGCCCUGACGGCCACAAGAAAAACACGCACCUGUAGCCCAACGACAUUCCCCAGGAUGGGACUUACCACAACGAGAACACCGAGGCAAAGGUGGUCUCGACUGGCUCAAACCCCUGCCCAUCUGUGACCCUGACGCCCUAGAGCUCUGACCAGCUUUCGAAUAUCCCAUACGAUCGAACCCCCUACCCAUGAAACGUGGGGGUGCACUCUGUGCUGGCUGGGAAGAAAAUCUAACAUGCUGCUGAGACUGCCCGCUUUGAAACUCGUCAGGAUAACCUGCUGAUCUAGCCCUCUUAUGCUGGCCUCUAUUAUAAUCUCUAUCUGGCUGACGUCCCCGGUGUCGAUCCUCUACACCCUGUGCAUAUGCCUGCACCCGAGCAAUGUCCAUACCUUGCUGAAGAGUCACUGCCAUACAACCGUCAAUCAGAUAACGAUCCAAUCCCAUCACAUAACGAUGUACCCUGUCUGCCAUAUCAGCCACAAUAAUAGGCGCAUGCCUAGCCAAUGAAUCAAACUCGAGGCUAUACUCUCGAACGCUCCUGCCAUUUUGCUUCAAACGCAAGAAUCUAUCGACUCUAGCUCGCUUCAUCUCUGGAGGCAGGAAGUGGCCCUGGAAAGCCUCCACAAAUUCAUCCCAUACCGCUGGAGGAGCACCCUCACCCCUAGAUAACUCCCAAGACUCAUACCAAUUAAUAGCUACAUCCCGCAAAUGAUACGUAGCCAACUCAACAGACUCGGUCUCCGAAGCCUUGAUUAUCCUCAAUGUACGCUGCAUCUGACGAAUAAACUCUUGCGGAUCAUCCUGGGCCUUGACCCAAAGAACUCUGGAGGAUUACAACUUAAGAAGUCACGACCCUUAAGCUAUCAGAUCUGUCCGCAUGAUCAACUCCUAGUCCAUGCCUGCGAGCCUGAUCUGCCACUAAUCUAGUCAGCAAUUGAACCGUAUCUCUCAUGGCCCUAUCCUCCACCCCUGACUGAGGAGCUGGAGGUUUAGAUGUUGGGGCCUCGGGGGCUGGUGGUGUCCCCCGAACUGGAGCUGCUGCUGCUCUAAGCUCUUCUAGCGGUGGGGGUGUAGCAGAGCUCUCCGACUAGAGCAUAAUACCAGGCAUAGACUGGGCACGGGCCCUAGUAACUCUCCGGGUCUGACUAGUACCUUCUGCUAUCGAUUUUCCCUUCUGGGCAGCUGUGACUUUCUUUGGAGGCAUAGCUGAAAACACACGCAUUCGUUAGAGAGGGAUUAUCCUGUUAAUAUAGCUCUAUCGCACGAUCUAGAAUAAGAAGAAAGAAUGACAUUCUAAAUGUCCUGUAGCUUCCUGUUUAUAGAUGUGGUGCACAACACACCGAUAAACAAGACUCUACUAGACACGGUCUGUAGACACUUCCGAGGAAGAACCGCUCUGAUACCACUCUUUGUCACAACCCAACCCGACGGGCCGUGACUAGUGCCCGUUUUGGACACCCACAUACAAACCUGCUAAGUAUAACCAACUGAAACUAAGAAAAUAUGGAAUUUAAUCAAAUCAAGCCAACCCCAACGUCAUAUAUAUAUAAGAGGACCUGUAUCAUAAGGAGUCAUAACCAUUCAACCAUAACAGCAUACGCGAGCUGACAAGGCUGCCACUACACAAUACACAAUGAUGUACGCAGCCGUCAAGGCUGCCCCUGUACAAGCGGACAUCCCAAACAAACCAUGUCCAGACCAUUAUCCAAAAUAUAUAUACACAACCCACAUAAUGUCCACAACCUCUAAGAGUACAUUAAUGAAACUCGACAGGACAGGGCCCCGCCAUACCCAUAGACGAGCAAAAGACUACACAAAAGUUAUGUACCAAAACGACUGGGCUCCGGAACAGUGGAGCUCUCCCAAUCAGCAGAGUAGAUAUCCUAGGCGAGAGGAUCACCGAACUGUGCGUCUACACCUGCGGGCAUGAAACGCAGCCCCCCGAGGAAAGGGGGGUCAGUACGGACAAUGUACUGAGUGUGUAAAGCAUAAGGUAAAGAUGACACGAUACCAAUAUGGCAAGUCGAAACAAAAUAUCGCUACACAUAUACCCUUUUAAGUGAAAAUCAUGCAUAUAUUUAACAUUUAAGGUGCCCAGCUUCCCCAGUAAGGGGCUCGGCAAAAUAAUCAUCACGUCAUCUCCGUCAUCAUCAUCAUCAUAACCAUCCUCAUCACCAAUCAUAUAUAUAAUAUACAUACCCGGCCCUCUAGUGAGGAACUCGGUGACACAUGCAAGAAACUCCGCACGAACAUUACCCGGCCCGGGACUCGGUGAAAUGAUAAAUGACUCUAUGCACGAGCAGAAUAUUAUGAGCAACCAUAUGCAAUUAAAAUCAUUUCUUAUAACUUAAUAGAACAAUCAACAUGAACCAGCAAGGAGUAUUACCAAAGAUUAAUGUUUUAUCAAGAUUAUGAACCUUUAAUACGAUAUGGAAACGUAAAUCUCAAUGACUCUAAGAAGCAUUACCAUAGAUAUUAGAGAUCAUCAUAGCCUUAGACAUAGCCGAUAUAUAGAGGAAUAAUUGUGGAACCAAGAAUAUACGUCACCUAGACGCUCUAGAGGUAAGUAUCAAAUCUGUCCGUUAUUCGCUUAUUUUUAAAAGUCAUGCCAAGCAAAGAAAGAAGGGACAGCGUUACAUACCGUAUAAUCGAGCCGCACGUCCAAUAUUUACUGCUCAAGCUAUUAAUCUAUAACAAGUAACAAUCGUGCCGCAAUUAGAUAAACAUCACGCUUUACUUUCUUGUAAGCUAGCUAAUAAUCUAACGAAAAUUCGGCAGCACCUCCCCUAUUUUCCUUACUUCGUCCCAAUCCGACAACAAUCCAAAUUAUCCACAGCAAUACCAAUAACACAUAUAACUCAAAGAAUCAUAUUAAACAGCCCCCUCCCCAAAACAGUUCCGUCUCGGCAACCAUAGCAGCGAAGCAACGACACACCGAGCGAUAACUCGUUUUAUAAUUCGCAACACAUCUACCUUAUCGUAUUCAUCCUUUGGAGUAUAUACUCAUAAUCACAUUCAACAUAUACAUAAUGCCAAAACAGAAUUUUCUUGCAGUUUGCUUUAAUCAAAACAGCCCAAGCACCAACACGACACCACUAAUAAUCCGAUUAUGGUUUCCAUUCAUACUUAGCACAUUCAAUAACUAAAACAAACUUCCUAAGCUACUGUUCACGCCCCCUUCUUAAAAUUAAUGGAUAAUUAACAAGGGUAUUCUAAAGAAUUAACACACCAAACAAGGAGAUUACUAACCAAAUUAUUUGCAGCUGCUGACCAAGAGUUGCAGGGUUGGUUUCUCCAUUUCCAUGGCUGCCUAAGACAAGUGGUGAAGAAGAAGAUGAUAUGCAGCAAUGCAUUUCACCACUUUAUUUAGCAUGGAGUGGAUUUCUCCACCUCAUUUAAUAGUAUUAAGUUGAGGCAGCCCCCCUCUACACCUGUCCACUAAGGCCAGCCCACAAUCUGAUCCCUUUUUAAUUUUUGCCUUGAGUGGUGGGGCCCACUAGAUUAAAUUAAUCCUAAUCAGACACCAAUUAUGAGUGGUGGGGACCAUUGGAUUAAAUCAAUCCAAAUUAGCCACUAAUUAAUCCCUCACUUAAAGUUAAUGUCACUUACAUUAGCCAACUCAUACUUAAUAUCACAUUUGGAAAUAACAUCCUUGCCUAAUAUUUCUUUACAUCUUCUAGAUCACGAUGUGCACUACGUAUAAAAAAAAUACGAGGCAUAACAAUGAGAGUUGUGUUCAGUUUAAUUAGGUUAGGGUCUUUAUAUAAGUCAUUAACUAACUUAGUUAGACAUCCCUUUACCCCUAACUAAUUAACAAACUAAUUAAUCAAUUUAACUAACUAACCUAAAAUGUGGCAGUAAAACAAUGACCUGACCUAUGAGACUCUAACCUACAGGUCAGCAUACGACCUUGGGAACAACCAUCUUGCAGGUUCAUCGUUAUGUCCAGAGAGUUUUCCACCUGGACCUUUGGCCAAAAUGCCUAAGUGUCUAACGAUGGUGGCAAUUGAGGCCCCGUCGAUUGGACUACACCUCAUCGAUGGGCAUCUUUGGUAGAGGCUGUCCAUUUGACAUUUUUUGCCAAAAUGCAAGAGUCCUCCUCAAGGACACUUCGGUUAGUACUUGGUGAGUCUUACCUAGACGUUUCGACUAUAAACCAACUCUAAUACGUGAUAUAAACCUUUUUACCAAAAUUUGAUCAGUUUCGACUCGUAAAACCUUAUCAAAUAGACUAAGGCACGCUAGUACCUCUUCGACUAGUUUUCGGACGUCAUGCAUCUUCCUUGACGCUUUGAUUCUAAAACUUCAUAAAUCACUACACCAUUUUAUGUCUACGGCAACACUAAAUCUGGACAAGGCUUAUAAAGUGUUGCCUAAAAUACUUUUGGGACCACUUUUAAAGUGUAGCCAAAGAUUUUGAUUUUUAGCUACUUUAAUUUAAGCAACACAUCUAAAGUGUACUCUUUAAUGGGAUAACCUACACUUUAUAAGUGUUAUUAUAGUUGGCAACAACUAUUUACAUGAACGGUCAUACUUUUAAAGUGUGUUAUUUUAAUAAUUGUAAAUACAACACAUUAAAAAUGUGGCCUUAGUGUUUUAACCAAAAUUUUAUAUUCCCUCAAACAUUUUAACAUUAAAAUUUUAUCUCCCUCCCAAUUUUAUUUGGCCAAAAAAAUAAAACACUAAAGAAAAAUUAAAAAGAAUAAAACAUUAAAGAAAUAAAAAAAUGCAACAUUUCCUAAAACAUCAGCUGAAGCUUCCAUUUUCAGCUGAAGAACACCAUUUGCCUGAACUGAAGAAGGAUCGAAGAACGGAAGAAAUCAGUUUGUACUAUGAUUUUUGUCACAUUUCUGUUAAACUUCAACUGAAGAACACCAUUUUCAGUUGACAAAAUGGAAGAGCACUGCGAUUUCUCUUAAUAUGAACUGAAGAAUAUGAUUUUCCUCUCAGCCUCGUUGUUCAAGAUUGGAGAGUUGAAGAAGAUGAUUUUCAUCAAUGAUUUCUGGUUAAACUGCUAUUCCAUCAGAUUUCCUUUUGAAAUUGAAAGAAAAUGCUUCACAAAUCAACUUGCCUCAUAUCUUAAAGCUUUAGGUUGUUGGAAUAGAGUUUAUCAGAUAGGAGAAUCUUACCUUAAAAAUUCUAAAUUAUAGCUUUAAGAUUUUGAUAUGCUUGUGUGUCAGUCAAAAAUUUAUGAUAGGAUUUUUAUGUUCUUGUGUUGUCGAUACGAAUUUAGUUGAUUUUGGGAGUUUAGUUUAUACUUGUAUUACGUAUAAAUGGGCAGAUUAUCUUUGACUCACUAGUUUUUGCUCUUGAAUGUUGAAUGUAGAAGCUGAAGCUAAGUCGCCUUUAUAUGAAGAACUGAGUUGUAGCUAAGUCUUCUUUCUUCGAUGAACUAAAUUGUUGAAGCUGGCGAUACCUACAAUAUUUUUUCCCUAAUAUAGAUUUCGUCAAGUGUAUGUAGCUACUCUACAUGAAUUUCAAAAGCUUAUAAUGUCUGUUUUAAUGUCACUAUUUUUUAGUCUUCUUGAGUUCAUAGUUAUGCUCACCUUAAGUUUGGUUUGUUCCUUUUUUAACCACAUUGAUUAUGUCUUGUACCUACUUUCUUGUAAUUUUUUUUCCGACGAUAGUCCUUGAAGUGUUUGAUGUCACGACCCAACCCGAUAGGCCGUGAUUAGUGCCCGUUUUGGACACCCACAUACAAACCUACUAAGUAUGACCAACUGAAACUAAGACAAUAUGGAAUUUAAUAAAAUCAAGCCAACCCCAACGUCAUAUAUAUAUAAGAGGACCUGUCUCAUAAGGAGUCAUAACCAUUCAAGCAUAACAGCAUACGCGAGCCGACAAGGCCGCCACUAUUCAAAGCAUAAUGAUGUACACAGCCGACAAGGCUGCACCUGUACAAGCGGACAUCCCAAACAAACCAUGUCCAGACCAUUAUCCAAAACAUAUAUAUACAACCCACAUAAUGUCCACAGACCUCUAAGGGUACAUUAGUGAAACUCGACGGGACAGGGCCCCGCCAUACCCAUAGACGAGCAAAAGACUACACAAAAGUUAUGUACCAAAACGAAUGGGCUCCGGAACAGUGGAGCUCUCCCAAUCAGCAGAGUAGAUAUCCUAGGCGGGAGGAUCACCGAACUGCACGUCUACACCUGCGGGCAUGAAACGCAGCCCCCCGAGGAAAGGGGGGUCAGUACGGACAAUGUACUGAGUAUGUAAAGCAUAAGGUAAAGAUGACAGGAUACCAAUGUGGCAACUCGAAACAAAAUAUCGCUACACAUAUACUUUUUAAGUGAAAAUCAUGCAUAUAUUUAACAUUUAAGGUGCCCAGCUUCCCUAGUAAGGGGCUCGGCAAAAUAAUCAUCACGUCAUCUCCGUCAUCAUCAUCAUCAUAACCAUCCUCAUCACCAAUCAUAUAUAUAAUAUACAUACCCGGCCCUCUAGUGAGGAACUCGGUGACAUAUGCAAGAAACUCCGCACGAACAUUACCCGGCCUGGGACUCGGUGAAAUGAUAAAUGACUCUAUGCACGAGCAGAAUAUUAUGAGCAACCAUAUGCAAUUAAAAUCAUUUCUUAUAACUCAAUAGAACAAUCAACGUGAACCAGCAAGGAGUAUUACCAAAGAUUAAUGUUUUAUCAAGAUUAUGAACCUUUAAUACGAUAUGAAAACGUAAAAUUUCAAUGACUCUAAGAAGCAUUACCAUAGAUAUUAGAGAUCAUCAUAGCCUUAGACAUAACCGAUAUAUAGAGGAAUAAUUGUGGAAGCAAGAAUAUACAUCACCUAGACGCUUUAGAGGUAAGUAUCAAAUCUGUCCGUUAUUCGCUUAUUUUUAAAAGUCAUGCCAAGCAAAGAAAGAAGGGACAGCGUUACAUACCGUAUAAUCGAGCCGCAUGUCCAAUAUUUACUGCUCAAGCUAUUAAUCUAUAACAAGCAACAAUCGUGCCGCAAUUAGAUAAACAUCGUGCUUUACUUUCUUGUAAGCUAGCUAAUAAUCUAACGAAAAUUCGGCAGCACCUCCCCUAUUUUCCUUACUUCGUCCCAAUCCGACAACAAUCCAAAUUAUCCACAACAAUACCAAUAACACAUAUAACCCAAAGAAUCAUAUUAAACAGCCCCCUCCCCAAAACAGUUCAAUCUCGGCAACUAUAUCGGCGAAGCAACGACACACCGAGUGAUAACUCGUUUUAUAAUUCGUAACACAUCUACCUUAUCGUAUUCAUCCUUUGGAGUAUAUACUCAUAAUCACAUUCAACAUAUACAUAAUGCCAAAACAGAAUUUUCCUGCAGUUUGCUUUAAUCAAAACAGCCCAAGCACCAACACGACACCACUAAUAAUCCGAUUAUGGUUUCCAUUCAUACUUAGUACAUUCAAUAACUAAAACAAACUUCCUAAGCUACUGGUCACGCCCCCUUCUUAAAAUUAAUGGAUAAUUAACAAGGGUAUUCUAAAGAAUUAACACACCAAACAAGGAGAUUACUAACCAAAUUAUUUGCAGCUGCUGGCCAAGAGUUGCAGGGUUGGUUUCUCCAUUUCCAUGGCUGCCUAAGACAAGUGGUGAAGAAGAAGAUGAUAUGCAGCAAUGCAUUUCACCACUUUAUAUAGCAUGGAGUGGAUUUCUCCACCUCAUUUAAUAGUAUGAAGUGGAGGCAGCCCCCCUCUACACCUGUCCACUAAGGCCAGCCCACAAUCUGAUCCCUUUUUAAUUUUUUUGCCUUGAGUGGUGGGGCCCAUUGAAUUAAAUCAGUCCAAAUUAGCCACUAAUUAAUCCCUCACUUAAAUUUAAUGGCACUUACAUUAGCCAACUCAUACUUAAUAUCACAUUUGGAAAUAACAUCCUUGCCUAAUAUUUCUUUACGUCUUCUAGAUCACGAUGCGCACUACGUAUAUAAAAAAAAUACGAGGCAUAACAUCCUUCCCCCUUAGGAACAUUCGUCCUCGAAUGUUAAGUUAGCGUCUUGCAAAAACAAAUUCCAGCGAGGUCUCUCUAAAAGUUAUACCUAUCAACCUGCAUUCCGUAACUUACAGAUGCCUCACAGCUACAUAAUCUCAUUAUCUAUCAAUAUAGUCAAGCUAGGAAUUGAAUUACCUGCAGGUACGGGGAACAAGUAAGGAUACUUAUUUUUCAUUUCGUCUUCCGCUUCCCAAGUCAUCUCCUCCCUAUUGUUAUUUUGCCACAACACUUUGACGGAAGCCACAUCCUUAGUACGUAACCUUCUAACCUGACGAUCAAGUAUAGCCACGGGUUUCUCCUCAUAUGACAACUCCUCUGUUACCUGAAUAUCAUCUACAGGGAAUACUCUAGAAGGAUCACCAAUACAUUUACGUAGCAUCGAUACAUGGAAGACUGGAUGUACCGCCUCCAAAUCAGAUGGUAGAUCCAACUCAUAGGCAACCUUGCCUAUCCUACGAACAAUCUGAUAAGGCCCAAUGUAUCUCGGACUGAGCUUCCCCUUCCUGCCGAAUCUCAUCACACCCCUCAUGGGUGAUACCUUCAGGAAUACCCAGUCACCAAUCUGAAACUCCAAAUCUCGACGCCGAUUAUCUGCAUAUGACUUCUGUCGACUCUGGGCUGCUAAUAAUCUUUCUUGAAUAAGCUUCACCUUGUCAACAGCUUGCUGAAUCACAUCCGGGCCUAUUAACUUAGUCUCGCCAACAUCAAACCAACCAAUAGGUGAUCUGCACUUCCUCCCAUAUAAGGCCUCGUACGGUGCCAUUUGGAUACUAGAAUGGUAGCUAUUAUUAUAGGCAAACUCAAUGAGCGGCAAGUGGUCAUCCCAGCUACCUUUGAAGUCAAUAAUACAGGCCCGCAACAUAUCUUCUAGUGUCUGAAUAGUACGCUCAGCCUGCCCAUCAGUCUGAGGGUGAAAUGCUGUGCUAAGGUUCACCUGUGUCCCCAAUCCCUUCUGAAACGAUCUCCAAAAGUUGGCUGUAAAUUGAGCUCCUCUGUCUGAUAUAAUGGACGUGGGAACCCCAUGAAGUCUCACUAUCUCCCUGACAUAUAACCUCGCAUAAUCUUCAGCCGAAUAAGUAGUCCUGACUGGAAGAAAAUGGGCCGAUUUCGUCAGCCUAUCUACAAUAACCCAUAUAGAGUCAUACUUCCGUUGAGUGCGAGGUAAGCCUGUAAUGAAGUCCAUAUUAAUCAUCUCCCAUUUCCAAGUCGGGAUCUCUAUCUCCUGUAAUAAUCCACCAGGCUUUUGAUGUUCGAUCUUGACUUGUUGACAAUUUGGGCACUGAGCAACAAACUCUGCUAUGUCCUUUUUCAUGCCAUCCCACCAAUAUAAGCAUCUGAGGUCAUGAUACAUUUUUGUUGACCCUGGGUGAAUAGAAUAACGGGCAGAGUGUGCCUCUCCCAUAACUUGCCGUCGUAGCCCCGCAGUAUCGGGUACACACAAUCUGCCUUCAUAUCGUAACACUCCAUCAGGUGUAACCUUAAAUGGGGUCUUUUCCUUUUGAAGAGCUGCAUCUCUAUACUGUGCCAGAAUAGGGUCCUUGUAUUGGUGUCUCUUUACCUCAUCUAUGAUUGAGGACUCAGCAACCUCUCGAAUAGAAACUCCACUAUCUUCCGAAUUAGCUAGACGGACUCCAAGGCUGGAUAGCCGCUGAAUCUCCCGAACCAUAUCCCUCCCUUCUGGUUGUACAUCUGUCAAGCUACCCAUGGACUUACGGCUAAGAGCAUCUGCUACAACAUUCGCUUUCCCUGGAUGAUAUAAAAUAUCAACAUCAUAAUCCUUUAGCAACUCUAACCACCGCCUCUGUCGUAAGUUCAGCUCCUUCUGUUUAAAGAUAUAUUGGAGACUCUUAUGAUCUGUAUAGAUGUCCACAUGGACACCAUAUAAAUAAUGUCUCCAUAUCUUCAAGGCAUGAACCACGACCGCUAACUCCAGAUCGUGAGUAGGAUAGUUCUUUUCAUGCUUCCUAAGUUGUCGGGAGGCAUAGGCUAUAACUUUGCCAUGCUGCAUCAAUACACAUCCUAGCCCAACACCCGAAGCAUCACAAUAAAUAACAUAGCCGUCUGGUCCCUCUGGAAGAGUUAGGACUGGAGCUGUAGUCAAUUUGUCUUUUAAUAGCUGGAAGCUUCGCUCACAAGCAUCUGUCCACUGGAACUUGGCUGCCUUUUGAGUUAGCCUUGUCAAAGGCACUGAAAUUGAGGCAAACUUUUCUACGAAUCUCCUGUAAUAUCCUGCUAACCCCAAAAAGCUGCGUACCUCAGUAGGUGUCGUAGGUCUGGGCCAAGUCUUUACUGCCUCAAUCUUCUGCGUAUCUACCCGAAUACCAUCAGCUCCAAUAAUAUGCCCCAAGAAUGCCACUGAAGUCAACCAGAACUCGCACUUAGAAAAUUUAGCAUACAACUUCUGGUGCUGAAGCACCCUAAGUACCGUCCUUAAAUGAUCUGCAUGCUCCUCUUCUGAACGUGAAUAGACCAGAAUAUCGUCUAUAAAUACAAUAACAAACAUAUCAAGGAAUGGUUUAAAUACUCGAUUCAUUAAAUCCAUGAAUACCGCUGGAGCAUUAGUCAGCCCAAAAGACAGCACUCUAAACUCAUAAUGCCCAUAUCGGGUCCGGAAUGCUGUCUUUGGAAUAUCUGCCUCCCUUACCCGCACCUGAUGAUAACCUGACCGCAAGUCUAUCUUUGAAAAACACUUUGCACCCUGCAACUGGUCAAAUAGAUCGUCAAUCCUUGGGAGGGGAUACCUGUUCUUUAUUGUUACUUUGUUCAACUGCCUAUAAUCAAUGCACAUCCGCAGCGACCCAUCCUUCUUCCUCACAAACAGUACUGGUGCUCCCCAAGGUGACGUACUAGGCCUGAUGAAGCCCUUUUCUAGCAAAUCCCUCAAUUGCUCUUUCAAUUCUUUCAACUCAGCAGGUGCCAUUCUAUAAGGAGGUAUAGAUAUAGGCUGGGUAUCUGGCAGUACAUCUAUAGUAAACUCUAUCUCCCGUUCUGGAGGAAGGCCUGGAAGUUCCUCGGGGAAUACAUCAGGAAAUUCAUUAACUACCGGGACUGAUUGAAGAGUCGGUGCCUCUGCCUUUAUGUCAUGCACCCGAAUCAGAUG
rnacentral:lncRNA from 1 species